AUUGAACGCUGGCGGCAGGCCUAACACAUGCAAGUCGAACGAGUGGCGGACGGGUGAGUAAUGUCUGGGAAACUGCCUGAUGGAGGGGGAUAACUACUGGAAACGGUAGCUAAUACCGCAUACCAUCAGAUGUGCCCAGAUGGGAUUAGCUAGUUGGUGGGGUAACGGCUCACCAAGGCGACGAUCCCUAGCUGGUCUGAGAGGAUGACGAGCCCCACUGGAACUGGGACACGGUCCAGACCCCUACGGGAGGCAGCAGGGGGGAAGUUUGCACAAUGGGCGAAAGCCUGAUGCAGCCAUGCCGGGUGUAUGAAGAGGGCCUUCGGGUUGUAAAGUACUUUCAGCGGGGAGGCGUUACCCGAAGAAGAAGCACCGGCUAACCCCGUGCCAGCAGCCGCGGUAAUAC
rnacentral:rRNA from 1 species